UUUCAAAUUAACGCGAAAGUGGAAAAUGUAAAAUUCUGUUACAAAACAGACAAUAAAAAAAUGCAAUUAAAGUGUGGACUCAGUUCAAUACUCAGUUGCGUGCAAUACACAAAAAUAGAUUUCCCUGGAUGCACCAGCACAUAAAAAAAGCCCCAAUGAAGAUAUUGAGAUUGCGGAGGAAAUUUUAAUGGGGAAUUAACAAACAGAAGAAGAGUUUGGACACGCAGCCGGUGGAAGCGAAGUUCAAUCCAAAGUGGCCUAAUUUUCAUUUAAAAAGAACAUCACCUGAACAUCGCUUCGGGAAUGUAGCAUGAAGUCUAUUACAUUUAUGCUUCAUUUCUACUCUGGUCUAUUCUACUCGGGUUAAGCAUAAACGCCAAAUGCUCUACUCGAGGUGAAUUCAGAAUGGAGUUUAUAUCAGGACAACCAAACCCAACUUUCCUAAAUUUUGGCAAAAUUUUAGAUAAAUAAUUGUAUUUUUGGCAAAAACUUAGCAACACAUAAACUCUGUAUCAAUCAAGUUAAAUGCAAAUCAGCUGAUUUCAACUCAGCCCUCGUUUAUAAUACCGAGUGAACGCCUCUGCAUAUGUAGAGAAAAUGUGUAUAAUCUAACCGAGAGACACCUUAACUCGUGGUGAAAAAUUGUCUAUGCUUGCGAGUUUAACUUACCCGAAUACAUUAAGCCCGAGUAGAAAUUAAGCAUAUGUAUGUAUAUAAUGAUCGUAAUCGGAUCAUCGUAAAAUAGCUGGAAAUUGUAACACUAAUGGGCUUGCACAUUUCGUUAAUAUCGAACAAUGCCUAAACGUACCACUUCUGAAUAUUUGGAUAUUGAGCCAACACAGGGAUAGCUGAACUAGCAUCCCAACUUGCAUAGUUGCGUGAUGCUUCUGGACUAUGGUUAAUAGCGGAAGCUCAGUAAGCCUUGAGGGUUUUCCCGGAUACCCACUGGCGCAGUUGUUUGGGAAAAACGAUAAAGGUACUUAUGCACUUUCUUAGGAACUGUACUACGCUUGCAAUACUGAGGCUGAAAAUUUUUUGUGAUGGCAUACAUUUACCAAGCCGAAGGUGUUUACAGAUAUUAACAUCAGUUGAAAAUACCGAGUGAUUCCAGGUCGCUCUCUGCCUGAUACUUCGAAUAGAGUGGAUGUCACUUCAUACUCUGUUUUUUACCAGCGAAUACUGCAUCGAAUACUGUGAAAGGCGGCGCGAUUUCAUUCAUUCGUUCGACUGAUCGUUUCAUCGACUACUAAAUUCGCCGCUGUCAAUACUCAGAAGACCACAAAUGAAGAAGACUCCGAAGAUCGACUCAUCGGAUGUCGACAUCGUCCAAAAGUUUUUCUACAUUGGAUUGUAAGGCUGUAAUUUUAUAAGGCCUCGAGAUUAUGACUUUACAACAGUGACGUGGAAGCCGAUUGGCAAACAAUUGAUGACAGAAUAUAUUCUUACCAUGGUUGCAUUUAGAAUUUCUGAGCUUCGAAUUCGGCUUUAGAAUAAUCUUUAACGUGAAAUUUUUUUUUCAGUAAAAAUGCUCAUCUUCUGCCAAGUCAUGUCCAGCUCAUUGAGCGAAAUGAAAUCGCAUAUGAUGGCCAUGAGGCUUCAGUUCAUAGAACAUCGGAAAUUUCAUUGAAGAUGUCAGAGCUCACACAAGGUGUAGUUCAAACAGCAAACGGUGAAUGGUCCACCCUUUGUUAAGCACGGCUUAGGAAGAUUUCCUUAAUUACUUUCAAACUCUUGGAUGUUCGGCUAUUCACUACUUCAUUCCGGAAAACUUUUGUCAAGGCUUUUCAAACGCCAGUGUCCUAUGGCUUGUUCUUAGAAACCACUUUUGCACUAAAUCACUCAAAAUUAAUACCCACACACAAGCAAAUACUUCACUGAUGCUGUAAAGCCACAUGUGCUUACCUACGUAUAGUAAUUUAAUUACCUUUUCUUAUAUAAAUAUAAAAGUAAAUUUUUUUUCCACUACAAAUUAUGCAACACUUGCGCACAACACUUUUUGAAAAGUGAUUUAUACACACCCAUAUGUGUGGCCAUAAAAAGAAAAUAAUAAUAAUAUUUAACAUGCCAUAUGUUUUAUUGUUUAUAUACAAGUAUACAUAUAUAAACACGGAGUAUGUCUUUUUUGAACAAUUAAAGAAUAAUAUCAUAAUUUAAGUACAACUAAGCGGUGAAGCUGUAGGCGAUUUGACCAACACUAUCCAUCUA